GUCCUCAGGGCACAGGCAGGAAGUCCACAUGGCACAGGCAGGAAGGAGCAAUUCUCUACUUCCUCCUUCCACCUGCAGUCCCCCUCUAGCGCACCUUCCACCGAGCCUAACAGAGCCACGUGUGGUUUUCAUGAUUCCUGCUCCAGGAUCACAAAGCCGACUAAAUACUGGAGUCGAUGACCCCAUGGAGAAUCAGAAUGAUUCCGGUGGUGCAGGGUCUUCCUGAGGUGGUGUCGACAAGGCUUUGAGACUCGAGGCAGAUGCUUUUGCAAAUUCUCUGAGAUGUAAUGAGCAAUUAAUUUCGGUGAUGAGUGAAAUGCCACUGAAUCCAUGGACCAUUAUUCAGAAGCAAGAGGGAAAGACCCAGGAGAGGGCACCCGAUUGGCUGAGCAGAAGUCAUAUUUUAUACACAAGACACAACAGGUGUUGGCGAGGAUGCAGACAAACAAGAACUCUCGUUCACUGUUGGUGGGAGUGAAAACCGGUGCAGCCACUGUGGAAAACGGCAUGGAGGGUCCUCUGAGAGUUAAAGAGAGAACUACCCUAUGAUCCAGUAAUCGCACUGCUGGGUAUUUAUCCCCCAAAAUACAAAAACACUAAUUCAAGGA